GACGAACGCUGGCGGCGCGCUUAACACAUGCAAGUCGAGCGAUGAAAUUUCGACAGAUCCCUUCGGGGUGAAGAUGAAAUGGAUUAGCGGCGGACGGGUGAGUAACACGUGAGUAACCUGCCUUUGACAUUGGGUUAGCCUCGGGAAACUGGGAUUAAUACCAAAUGACACUAACUGAUCACAUGAUCAAUUAGUCAAAGAAAUUCGGUCAAAGAUGGACUCGCGGCUGAUUAGCUAGUUGGUGAGGUAACGGCCCACCAAGGCGACGAUCAGUAGCCGGCCUGAGAGGGUGAUCGGCCACAUUGGAACUGAGACACGGUCCAAACUCCUACGGGAGGCAGCAGUGGGGAAUAUUGCACAAUGGGGGAAACCCUGAUGCAGCGACGCCGCGUGAGCGAAGAAGGCCUUCGGGUCGUAAAGCUCUUUUAUGAGGGAAGAUAAUGACGGUACCUCAAGAAAAAGCCCCGGCUAACUACGUG
rnacentral:rRNA from 1 species